AAACCCGCCAAGGAACUACGAGCUCAAACUUAAAACCUAAGGACUUGACGGUGUUCCAUCCCCCUAGAGGAGCCUGUUCUAUAAUCGAUUCUCCACGAUAUACCUCACCAUCCCUAGAACAUUCAGCCUGUAUACCUCCGUCGCAAGCUCACCAUGUGAACGCACCCAGUAAGCUCAAGGAUUAAAAUCAAAACGUCAGGUCAAGGUGCAGCCUAUGGAAUGGAAAGAAAUGGGCUACAAUCUCUAUAUUAGAACAAACGGAAAACUGCAUGAAACACAGUAUUGAAGGCGGAUUUAGUAGUAAAAAGAAAAUAGAGAGUUCUUUUUAACCCGGCACUGGAACGCGUACACACCGCCCGUCACCCUCUUCGAAUAAUAUAUAUCAUGUUACUAACACAACACACACCCCCCCCUAAAAGAGGCAAGUCGUAACACGGUAAGCGUACUGGAAAGUGCGCUUGGAAACAAAAUGUAACUUAACAAAAGUACCUUGCUUACACCAAGAACAUGUCCGUGCAACCCAGACCAUUUUGAGCCAAAAACCUAGCCCAUAAAAUACACAUAAAAACACACCCCCCCCCCCCCCCAUAAAAUGAACAAAACAUUUAACAAACCAAGUAAAGGCGAUUAAAA
rnacentral:rRNA from 1 species